GGUCCUGAGAGACAAGAGGGAGACUGUGAUGUCGAGUGUCGAGCGAUGCUGUGGAACUUCCUGACAAACUCACAUGGAUCCUUUCCAUAAUGCUGUCUGUCCUGUGUGAGGUCUUACCUUGAGGGAGCGGUGCAGUCUCUUGGUCUUCAGGUCCCAGAUGUUAACGCUGUGAUCCAGACCUCCACUGACCAGAAA